rnacentral:rRNA from 1 species
AACGAACGCUGGCGGCAUGCCUAACACAUGCAAGUCGAACGGGAUCCUAGCUUGCUAGGUGAGAGUGGCGGACGGGUGAGUAACACGUGGGAAUCUGCCUUUGGUUCGGGAUAACCGCGGGAAAACUGCGGCUAAUACCGAAUGCCCUCGAGAGAGGAAAGAUUUAUCGCCAGAAGAGGAGCCCGCGUCCGAUUAGGUAGUUGGUGGGGUAAAGGCCUACCAAGCCGACGAUCGGUAGCUGGUCUGAGAGGAUGAUCAGCCACACUGGGACUGAGAUACGGCCCAGACUCCUACGGGAGGCAGCAGUGGGGAAUAUUGGACAAUGGGGGCAACCCUGAUCCAGCAAUGCCGCGUGAGUGAUGAAGGCCUUAGGGUUGUAAAGCUCUUUUGCCAGGGAAGAUGAUGACUGUACCUGGAGAAUAAGCCCCGGCUAACUUCGUGCCAGCAGCCGCGGUAAU